rnacentral:rRNA from 1 species
GGUGCCUACGGGGCGCAGCAGUGGGGGAUAUUGCACAAUGGGCGCAAGCCUGAUGCAGCGACACCGCGUGAGCGAAGAAGUAUUUCGGUAUGUAAAGCUCUAUCAGCAGGGAAGAAAAUGACGGUACCUGACUAAGAAGCUCCGGCUAAAUACGUGCCAGCAGCCGCGGUAAUACGUAGGGGGCAAGCGUUAUCCGGAUUUACUGGGUGUAAAGGGAGCGUAGACGGCUGUGCAAGUCUGAAGUGAAAGCCCGUGGCUCAACCGCGGAACUGCUUUGGAAACUGUAUAGCUUGAGUACUGGAGAG